AGGACGAACGCUGGCGGCGUGCUUAACACAUGCAAGUCGAGCGGAAAGGCCUCUUCGGGGGUACUCGACCGGCGAACGGGUGCGUAACACGUGAGCAACCUGCCUAAGUGUGGGGGAUAGCCGGCCCAACGGCCGGGUAAUACCGCAUACGAUCACUAUUUGGCAUCAUUUGGUGAUGAAACUUUCGAGGCACUUAGAGGGGCUCGCGGCCUAUCAGCUUGUUGGUGGGGUAAUGGCCUACCAAGGCGACGACGGGUAGC
rnacentral:rRNA from 1 species